UUUUCCAAAUAGAAUCACUCAGUCCUCAUUUUUGUAACAUCUUCCAGUUCUAGUUGCAGUCUAACCGCUUUACAAAGAUGUGGUCUGUGAGAGCCAAUGUCACAAAAUUUAGUCCUUUUUGGUUUUCACCGGAUAUAAAACGAAAACGGAUGGAGGACUGUCGAUAAGCGCAACAGUAAUAUGCAUUCGGUUUCGACGCUCCGGCACAUUUUUCACUCACUUGCGUUGUAAAAACGCGUGAACUUUGGCGACUUUUACGGUUGCAUUGAAACCAGGCUGGUAUGCAGCUUUGUCUAUUUCUUCAGAUCCAGUUGUCUGAAACAUUCACGUAACCAUCCCAUAUUGAUGUACGGCUUGGGUCCUUGGGUGUACUACUUUAGUGCGAAUACAUGGAUUUUUACGUUUGAAGUUUACCAGUUGGUUGUUGCCUAUACGCCGUUUAAUGACGUCGACGCUGUUUUGUGUUUGCUAAUUCGCCCAUAUUACGUCAUGAGCGCUCUCGGUGUCUUCUGCUAGUAGAGAAAACAUAAAUGUUAAUCGUGUCCGGUUAUCGGGUUAUGAUUAACGAAGACAUAGGAGACUGGGGGGAAACCUAUCCUGGGCCGCCUGGACGCCAGCGAUUGAUUUGAUAAAGGGGUGGAUGAGGGCCACCUUGAACUGUCCGUUUUGUAGUAACAGGCGCAGUCUGUGUGGCGGUGACUUCAGGUUGACCGCUCGAAGCGGCUGUUUCGCUGCCGGUAGUGGGAUCGAUCGGAGUAUCAAAUGGUUUAAAGUCCUUGUCAUCAACGGCAUCCUCGGCGUAAACCACCUAUUAAUUACAUAUAUGAUAUACGUAAAGGUUGAAAUUUUGGCUGAUAUCGUUAACAAAAAAGAACGCUUACCAACGCCAGUGCAGCAAAAACGACGAUGAGGCCGAUACGUGAGGACUUCAUGGUGCCGGAAACUGAAAAACGUGCGUUAAAGGACAAAAGUGUUUAAUUACGAAACCUUGCGAUAACCGAAUUCUUUCCGUGUAAGUGCUGAUUCCAGUAAUCAAUCUGAGUCAGCUUAACUGUGCGCUUCCUCCAGUACGUGGUGGUGGCCUUACCGGUAAAAACGUGGUAGCGUUGCCGGCAAAAACAAUAAUUUCCUUCCUGGCACUUCAAAGUUUUGCCGGUUCGAGAUUUUUACCAGCCACGUUGCUCCGGAAAACGAGCCGCUACGGCAUGAUGCCUCGUCGAAAUACUUCGUGCUCGAAUGGCUUUUGCGUUAGCCUGCGUCAACACAAGCCAGCUGUACAAUCCAGCGAAACUUCCAGUAUUUAAGCCGCGGCUGCUUAGAAUAGACCUCAUCAAGCAAUUUUCCAAUCUCCAUAAACCUGAUUUUAAGUGAAACUCACAACGUCUUCCUAAAACAGUCAUGAAGGUCACGUUUUUUAUCGCCAUGGCUCUCGCAGUCACUGUGCUAUCAUUGGAGAUCCAUUCGGUAGCGGGUGAUAAGGCGCACGAUUCCAGUGAAAGCCACGCCGUUAUUAGCGAAAAUUCCCCCUUAAACUCCUCUGUCCCCAACGGUGCCGUCGCCUCGCAGCAUGGAGCGAUUAAGUCUGGUAACAGCCGAGUUGUACGGUCCGAUACUGGUUACCACCCACACCCCCCUAAAGCACCGCACAAUAAGUACUGCCGUGGCUGAAGCGGUCGUAUCGAAACACCGCCUGGCUGGCUCGCGGCGCUGCCAUUUUCUUUUGAAAUGACCGGCGUCGCGCUAUUCGAAUUUCUCGAGCAUUUUUAGCCUUCCUGGUUCUGCUUUAAGAUGCAGAUUUUGUACAAUUUAAUAUACCACUGCCGCACUGCGCAUUUAUGUAACUAGCUUAAGUCAACUAUCGAGAAUGCAAGCAUCGCCCAAUAAAUACUUGUA